AGAUAUAAAUCUCGCACAUUUAUAAUAUCUCUUUUGGCUUUCAACGGGCAAUUUUCUGUCUCUCUCUCUCUGAGACGUUUCUUAGGCUUCAAGGUGCUGAUGAGCACUCGAUGAGCUCGAGUUCGAUUCCCGACACUACUCUGCAAGCAGAGGCUGCUGUUGGGUUUUCGAAGUUGAUGGUCAGAAGGAGAUGGCUGAAGUGAAAAUAGAAGAGCCUUGUCUUGAGAACAAACAAUCAACUGUUGCAUUGAGCUCUUCUGUUUCUGAAGGUAGUGGCAGUGUUACACUCAAGUCACCAGGAAUAUGCAGCCCCGCUACUACCUCGCCGUCCCAUGGGAGGACCUCGGGCCCUAUUAGGCGUGCAAAGGGGGGUUGGACUCCAGACGAGGAUGAUACACUAAAAAGAGCUGUUGGAGUUUUCAAGGGGAAAUGUUGGAAGAAAAUAGCUGAAUUCUUUCCUGAUAGAUCAGAAGUCCAAUGUCUACAUCGAUGGCAGAAGGUUCUCAAUCCUGAACUUGUUAAGGGGCCUUGGACACAGGAGGAGGACGAUAAAAUCAUUGAACUGGUAUCAAAAUAUGGGCCUACAAAAUGGUCUGUCAUAGCAAAGUCUUUGCGAGGCCGUAUUGGGAAACAAUGCCGUGAGAGAUGGCACAAUCAUCUUAAUCCAUGUAUAAAAAAGGAUGCUUGGACGGUGGAGGAGGAACUAGCUCUCAUGAAAGCCCAUCAUAGACAUGGGAACAAAUGGGCUGAAAUAGCUAAGGUUCUACCUGGAAGGACUGAUAAUGCAAUCAAGAAUCAUUGGAAUAGUUCCUUAAAGAAGAAGUUAGAUUUCUACUUGACUACCGGGAACCUUCCACCAGUUGCAAAAAAUGCGAUUCAAAAUGGUGUGAAAGACACAAAUAGAACUGCUCCAACUGGAAUUCUGCUUGAAUGUACAAAUAAAGGAUCAGAGUCAACUACCCAGACUUCAUCAGGAACUACAGAUGUUUGUAAAAUAGAAGAUGAUAGCAAAGAUCCAGAGUCUUUAACCCCAUUUCAAGAUAUGGGUGCUUCCUCAAGUGUUCCCGCAAAUGAAUCUGUUGAUUCUGAAGUCGUAAAAUGCUACCCAAAGUCAUCAGAUAUAGAUCUUAGAAGUAGUUAUUCAAAUUUAGUGCAAAAGUUUGAGAGGUGUAGAACUAAUGAUGAUAUUUAUCAAGACACACCACAAUUAGAAAUUCCAACAUAUGGUUCAUUGCACUAUCAGCCACCACAAUUAGAAAGUUUUGUACCAUUAGAUUCAGAUCUUCUGAAUAUGUCAUGGAUGCAGCAAGAGUCUUACUCUAGUCCAAUUACAUCGCCUGUUAACUUCUUCACUCCACCUCGUGUGAAGGGUUAUUUCUUUAGCCAGAGUCCGGAAUCCAUAUUGAAAAUUGCCGCCAAGAGUUUUCCCAAUACUCCUUCCAUAUUACGGAAGAGAAAGACUCAAGAAACACCUCUGCCAUCAAAUAAACUUGGGAAGGCUGAUGGGGAAGUAAUUCAAGACGGAGUUCAUACUUCUGAUGGACAAGAGCAAACAACAAAUACAUCUGGGUUGCAAGAUGGAAGUUUGCAUGGAAGUCCUGCUUAUCUUGGUAAUGGCAUCACUGAGUUAUUUAAUGGCAAGGCAUUUAAUGCAUCUCCACCUUAUCGGUUAAGAUCCAAACGAACAGUUGUUUUCAAGUCUGUGGAAAAGCAACUUGAGUUUGACUUUGACAAAGAGCACCAAGAUGGUGAUAACAAAUCUGUGGAUUCAAUUGUGAAAGGAAAUCCUCCUGUAACUGAAGAUUGUUCCUCUUGAACAUUAAACCGAUGAUGGUUGGAGAUACACCUUGAAGUUGGCUAGGUUCUGUUGAGAAGCAGCUUAAUGUCCGUACAUACUCUUGUCAUCUGUGUAUGUGAAGAAUAAGGAUGGAUAGUCCCAUUUAACUUGUGAAAGGAAAUUCAAAUUACAGCAGGUCUGUACAGAAACCCCCAUCAAGAGGUGAAGGAGGGCUUCAGAAAACAUCUCGAUUGAAAGACUUGGAGGUUUUGCUGUUGAAGGUCUUAUCAAUCUCUUUCGGUAUUGUGAUUUUUCUCUGGCAGUGAAUGCAAAAUUUAUUAUUUUCUUCUUCAGUGACCACUGCUUUUCUCUGAUUAAUCCUCAAUAAUUUAUACUGCAACUGAUUUGAAUGUUUUGGAGAUGCCAAAGUACUAAUUUGUGCACAUGAUUUGAUCCUUUUAUCUGAAGGUAACUGGAUUCUGGUAAGUUCUGGAUGUUAGUGCUAAGAACUUUCAUAGUUUGAAGAAUCUUCGGUCUGUUCCACCCACUGCUAGCGCUUGGUUGUGAAAGUUUUCCUUUUUUAUACUUGGUUUCUUAGUUAAUCCAAUCAUUUUUGUUGGGAAAAACCAUUCCAUGAACUGUUGUUUCAGGUAUUUUAGCUUUGGUAAGUGUUGGGUCACCAACAAAAAUCAGACAGGCCCCAACCUCCAAAAAGACAAAAACUAGUGACAAGCUGGAGCAAAUAGUGAGAAUAAAUAAAUAAAACAAAAAAGUACCCAUCAAUUUGGCAUUGAUGUUUUUGUUUUCAUUGCAUGGCUGCAAUCUAUAACUGGUUCAAAUAGUUUAUAGAUCAUAAGAUUUAGAAUGAGGUAUAUUGGAAAAUCACAUAGGAGGAUUUUAUUCAUGUUUUCAUUGACAAAAAAUGAGAGGUCGACUUGAAGGGAACGACAAUUGGGAAAAAAUGGGUUAUUCAACCAACCUGUCCCCUCUUUCUUGCUCUCUCUAGGAAAGAAUUGGUCUCGAAAACAGCUAAUAGAUUCUCUUG